rnacentral:rRNA from 1 species
AGCAGCCGCGGUAAUUCCAGCUCCAAUAGCGUAUAUUAAAGUUGUUGCAGUUAAAAAGCUCGUAGUUGAACCUUGGGCCCGUCCUGCCGGUCCGCCUCACCGCGAGUACUGGUCCGGAUGGGCCUUUCUUUCUGGGGAAUCCCAUGGCCUUCACUGGCUGUGGCGGGGAACCAGGACUUUUACUGUGAAAAAAUUAGAGUGUUCAAAGCAGGCCUUUGCUCGGAUACAUUAGCAUGGAAUAAUAGAAUAGGACGUGCGGUUCUAUUUUGUUGGUUUCUAGGACCGCCGUAAUGAUUAAUAGGGAUAGUCGGGGGCGUCAGUAUUCAGCUGUCAGAGGUGAAAUUCUUGGAUUUGCUGAAGACUAACUACUGCGAAAGCAUUCGCCAAGGAUGUUUUCAUUAAUCAGGGAACGAAAGUUAGGGGAUCGAAGACGGUCAGAUACCGUCGUAGUCUUAACCAUAAACUAUGCCGACUAGGGAUCGGAUGAUGUUAAUUUUAUAAUGACUCA